UAGCUCAGUCAGUAAAGAAUCUGCCUGAAAUGCAGGAGACCCAGGUUCAAUCCCUGG
rnacentral:tRNA from 1 species